rnacentral:rRNA from 1 species
AUUGAACGCUGGCGGCACGCCUAACACAUGCAAGUCGAGCGGCAGCAUGCUUAGUAGCAAUACUAAGUGAUGGCGAGCGGCGGACGGGUGAGGAACAAGUAGGAAUCUGCCCAAGAGAGGGGGAUAACUAAGGGAAACUUUAGCUAAUACCGCAUAAUCUCUGAGGAGAAAAGUUGCCCGUAAGGGUAGCGCUUUUGGAGGGGCCUGCGUCCGAUUAGUUGGUUGGUGAGGUAAUGGCUCACCAAGACGAUGAUCGGUAACUGGUCUGGGAGGACGACCAGUCACACUGGGACUGAGACACGGCCCAGACUCCUACGUGAGGCAGCAGUGGGGAAUCUUGGACAUUGGGGGCAACCCUGAUCCAGCUAUGCCGCGUGGGUGAAGAAGGCCUUCUGGUUGUAAAGCCCUUUAGGCUGGGAAGAAGAGUGCGGGGUGAAUAAUCCUGUACUUUGACGGUACCAGCAGAAUAAGCACCGGCAAACUCUGUGCCAGCAGCCGCCGUAA